CACUCUCUUUCUCUACCUCUGCACUCACGCCUUCUCGCUGAGCCCUUUUCGGUCUUUUUACCACGAUCCCCUUCUCUCAUAAUCAGACGGCCCACACCUCUCCACGUCACCAUCGUCUUCUUCAUCAUCAUCAUCAACAACAUCAUCACCUCUCACUCUUUCUUCUCGCUAUCUCCUUAUAUUAUUAAACCGCCUCUUUCUUAGGGUUUCUCUCAUUGACAAAUAUAUCCAAAAUCAUGAUGACACCUGUCUCCGAAAAUAUCCGCCACUUCUUGUACCGUAGAUGACGUUUCGAAUUUCGUGUUCAACUCUUCAAUUCCUAAUUCAAUCUCAAUAUCUCGCGAAUGAGUUACCGUGAAAAUUUUGAAAUUUGGUGAUUUAAAGGAGUUUUGAGUUAGGAUUUGUGAUUAAUGGCGAUAGAGAAGAAUAAUUUCAAGGUUUCGCGUUUUGAUUCGGAGUUUUCCCCGGAUAGUAGGGGGACUAUGUCAAGUGAUGAGGAUGAGCUUCAAAGACGAAGCUCAGCCGUUGAUGAAUCAUCUGAUGAUGAUGAAUAUGAUGAUGCUGAUUCAGGUGCUGGUUCGGAUGACUUUGACUUGCUUGAAUUAGGUGAAACUGGGGCGGAGUUCUGCCAAAUUGGGAACUUAACUUGUACUGUUCCUUUUGAAUUGUAUGAUCUUUCCGGUUUAGAAGAUAUAUUGUCUGUUGAUGUGUGGAAUGAAUUGUUAACUGAUGAGGAGAAGUUUGGGUUAGCCAAGUAUUUACCUGAUAUGGAUCAAGAUACUUUUAUGAGGACGUUGAAGGCGCUUUUUGAGGCUGAGAAUUUCCACUUUGGGAGUCCCAUUAAGAAGCUGUUUGAUAUGUUGAAAGGGGGCUUGUGUGAGCCAAGAGUGGCGCUUUAUCGGGAGGGAUUGAAUUUCUUUCAGAAGCGGCAACAUUAUCAUCAUUUGAGGAAGCAUCAGAAUACUAUGGUUAGCAAUCUUUGUCAGAUGAGGGAUGCGUGGAGUAAUUGUAGGGGGUAUAGUAUUGAGGAGAAGCUUAGGGUUUUGAAUAUUAUGAAGAGUCAAAAGAGCUUGAUGUAUGAGAAGAUGGAGGAUUUGGAGAGUGAUUCAUCAGGACAAGAGGAAUCAGGGGAUGGGUUCUGGAGCAAAAAGCUUAAGGAUAGGAAAGCUGUUCAGAAAAUGCGGCAUCAUUCUCCAUAUGCGGUGGGUUCAACUUUGGAUUUUCCCCAAGGACAGCCGAUGAGUAUGGAACCGGUAAAAUAUGGGAAGCAGAAUUCAAAAGGUACUUUGAAGAUGGCUGGGUCCAAAUUGCAUUCUGGGGGCCGCUUUGUGGAUAUGAAUUCUGGGCCAUAUGGUUCAGGAGUAGCUCCUCCUCGACUGAGUAAAGGAGCAGGGUAUGAGUCAGGGGUUUCUUUAUGGAGAAGGGAUCAGUUCAGUGUUGACGAUGAUGAUGAUGUUGAAGAUCCAUUGUUUGGAAUGGGUAGUCAAAGAGAUCGAAAUGCUACACGGGGUAGCAUGAUGGAAAAAUCUGGUGCUUGGAAAAUGGGAAAGAAGCCUGACUUUUUGAGAGGUGAAGAAUCAGGCAGUGAUGGUUUCAUGGGUUUGUCUAUGUCAUCGAAGCACGAUUUACAGGCCUAUGGUAAAAACAAGAAUGUAAGUCAGUUGUCAGAGGCAAAAGUGUAUACAUCAAAGCCUUUUACCAUGAGAACAUCUUAUGAGUUUUCCAAGAAGGCUAAGUAUCCUGAAAAUUCUCAGCAAACAGUUGGAGACUAUAUGAAGUCUCUGAAACACCGACCACAGCUACCACUGAAAGGAAGUCGAGCUGAAAUAUUGGAUCGUGCAGAACCAUGGUAUAACAGAACUCAAGGAGAGGCAUUUUCCAAUGAUUUGCCUUUUAAAUCUGAUGAUCGGCAUGGUAGAAGCAAAAAAUGGAAGACGGGGAAAGAGUCUCCUGAUAUCAAUUUUAGAUCAUAUAAAGCUUCCUCACCACAGAUGAGUGAUAGAUUCUUACAUUCUGAGUUCAGAGUGAAGCCUUCACAGGAGAAGAUAAGAGGGAAUUUUGUGCAGAAUGGAGGGCUAGAUAUGGCAGCAUUGAGAGGUAACAGAAAGCAUGUAAAAAAUGAAGAAACAGAAUCAGAGUCAUCUGAACAAUUUGAUGAUGAUGAUGAUGACAGCAAUCCUUUAAUGAGGAGCAAGUUAGCCUACCCCAGUGCUGUUGCUGAAGGUUCUCGAUUUUCUUCACUGAAACCUGGUCUGGAUGCUAAGAAGUCCAAAUUUAUAAAGAAAGAUAAACUAGAGAAUACACGGGCACUUGAUGGAAUCACAAAAUCCUCCAAGAUGAUGGGUGGCUUUAGUGAGCAUGCACGAAUACCAGGAACAGAGAACUACUCUUUGAAAACAAAACAGAAGGGUAAGAGGCGUGAUAACAGUCCCUUCCAUAAUUCUACUGCCAGGGUUUUGGAAGAUAGCUCUCUGUCAGGAUUGGGCAAAUUUAAAGAUGAUGACGAUAGGAAACCUAUCUACAAAUUUGGCAAGAAUGGCCAAUUACGGGGGGAACAUGGAGAAAGGAUGCACCUGUCCUCACUGAAGGCCUUUCCUUCUGAGAGAAAGCAGAAAGCAGAACUUGCCCAUGAAUUUAUUGUUGAUGAGGAUGAUGAUUCACUUGCAACACGAUUAUUGGUUAACGGUGUUAAACAGGGCAGAGUGAGGAAGAAAGGUAGGGAAAAAUCUGAGGCUUCAUUAGUAGAAUGCAACUUGGUGAUGAAGAAGAGAAAAGCGAAAGGGGAUGUGAUGGAUGUGGAUGGAAGAGAUCAGCAGCAAAUUGAUGAUUCCGUUUUCUUGAAGAAGAAGGGAAAAAGGAAACUGGAGGCUGAUGCUGUUACUACAGAUUUGGAAACUUCUGAGCCACCUGUUACAGAAGCAGGAGCAGCAGAUGUUGAGCAGGAAACUAAACCACAAAAAAAGCCUUUUACUUUGAUAACACCUACAGUUCAUACUGGCUUCUCAUUCUCCAUUAUACAUCUUCUUUCAGCAGUUCGCAUGGCAAUGGUUACUCCACUUACAGAAGAUUCAUUAGAAGUUGGCAAACCUAGAGAGGAGCAGAAUGAAAAGCAUGAAGGUGAAGUUAAUGGUGUUGUUUCUAACGAGAAUGCCGAUGUCAGUAACUCAGACCAGUCUGGGCAAGGGAAGGUGCUUUCUCUUACCAUUCAGGAGAUUGUUAACCGUGUGAGAUCAAACCCUGGAGAUCCUUGUAUUCUUGAGACACAAGAGCCACUUCAGGAUUUGGUCAGAGGAGUUCUCAAGAUAUUUUCAUCGAAAACAGCACCUCUGGGGGCAAAAGGUUGGAAGAUGCUUGUGACCUAUGAAAAAUCUACGAAAAGUUGGUCCUGGGUUGGCCCAGUGUCUCAUAUCUCAACUGAUCAUGAGACAAUUGAGGAGGUGACUUCACCUGAAGCUUGGGGACUUCCUCACAAGAUGCUUGUCAAGUUGGUCGAUUCAUUUGCAAAUUGGCUGAAAAGUGGUCAGGAAACCCUUCAGCAGAUAGGAAGUCUUCCUGCUCCUCCUGCGUCGUUGAUGCAGUUCAACCAGGAUGAGAAAGAUCGGUUCAGAGACCUAAGAGCUCAAAAGAGCCUUAACACUAUUAGCCCAAGUACUGAGGAAGUGAGAGCUUAUUUUCGUCGGGAGGAAGUCCUUAGAUAUUCCAUUCCUGAUAGGGCUUUCUCUUAUACAGCUGCUGAUGGCAAAAAAUCUAUUGUUGCUCCUUUGAGAAGGUGUGGUGGUAAGCCAACUUCAAAAGCCCGAGACCAUUUUAUGUUGAAACGUGAUCGACCACCUCAUGUUACAAUUCUCUGUCUUGUGAGAGAUGCAGCUGCCAGACUGCCUAGUAGUAUUGGCACAAGGGCAGAUGUUUGUACUUUAAUCAGAGAUUCUCAAUACAUUGUUGAAGAUGUGUCUGAUGCACAAGUUAACCAAAUUGUUAGUGGAGCAUUGGACCGUUUGCAUUACGAACGUGAUCCUUGUGUGCAAUUUGAUUCUGAGCGGAAAUUGUGGGUUUAUUUACAUAGAGAUAGAGAAGAAGAAGAUUUUGAGGAUGACGGAACUUCAUCUACAAAGAAAUGGAAGAGGCAGAAAAAAGAUCCUACUGAGCAAUCUGAACAAGCAGCAGUAACUGUGGCUUUUCAUGGGACUGGUGAUCAGGCUGGAUAUGAGUUGGGCUCCGAUCUCAAUGUUGAGCCACCAUCUAUUGAUUAUGAUAAGAUACCAGAGAGUGGUGAUGGCAGACCAAAUGCAGAGGAUAAUGUUGAUAAUAAUCAUGGGUCUGAGCAGGGUAACGCACACCACAGUCAUCCAAUGGAUUGGGAGGCUCUUGACUUAAAUCCCGUGCAAGAGAACAAGUUGCUAUGUCAAGAAAAUUCAACAAAUGAAGAUUUUGAUGAUGAAACAUUUGGAAGAGAAAGGCCAGUUGGACUCUUAAGUGCAAGCUUGUUGUGAUGAAAUUUUCAGGCUUAAAGGUUCACCUAUAUUUGAAGGCAACAUUCCAGUUGAUGGUGUGUUUUAUAGAUUGAAGGUUACAUGUAUAUUGAUUCCAGCGCGAAUGUAGAUUAGCUAGUCAAUUUGUUGAGGCCAAGAAUAUGUUUAGUGCAGGUGGAUAAUAUAAUUCUGCAUCCCAUAAAUAAUACUUUUUUUUGUUAUAUAUUUUCAUAAUUUGAUAAAAAUAGUUCAUUCUGUCCAUUGAGCAAGCAAAAUUGAUGAAUUCAUGCCUUAAAUAUGGCAUCAUAUGCCCUCGUUUCAUAUGGUCUAGAUGAGAACCCAUUUUGUGCUUUUGCUGUCAAAACAUUUAGGUGUUAGGGAGUAGUUAUGUAUAUAUUGCAUUCGGCUUGUUAGAUCAUUUAACCCUUUGAAGUAGUUAAAACUUUAUAAUAUGUCAAUGUUGGUUCCUAAUUUUUGUGUUUUUUCGGGGGUAAGAGAGAAAAGAGAGAAGUUUAUUUAGUUAUACUAGUUAUACUUUGUUUCAAUAAUAUUAAUUCUUUGUUCGAAAAGCGAUGGACUAGACAAUCUGUCAAUCUACCAACAUUUCUUUUUUAGCUUUGACCUCAUAUGCUUUUUGCAGCCUUCUAGCUAUCUUGCUUGAAUAUGCUAGUCUGCUACAGGUUGAGAUAAUUCAAGGAAUUCAUGCUCGUGUCUGUCAAAGUCCAGAAUGAUAGAAUUCUAAUUUCUAAGAGUUACUUGCUGUUGUACAUGGCAUUAAUAUAUCGUGCUGAUUGAGAAUUCCCGGCUUUAAAGGAAAGUCAAGAUCAUUUUGAUUUUGGAAGGAUGAUGUUUAUAUUAUUCUUUGCACUUGAAAGCCCCAUAGGUGGCGGCUGUGGCUUGCGGAUACUAGGAUGGACUUGCAGUUGUACUCCUAAUUUGCUAUCUGAAUUGUAUGUCUAUCUUCCUAGAGGGAUGAGAUUGAAGAAGUAAUGCAGGUUGUCUAUCCAACCUGACCUGCCGGGGGGUUCGGCGCUUCCUUUUUUUUUAUAUUUGAGACUGUUAAUUACAUAUUUUUUUAUGUCCUUUUACCUGGCCUGCUAGCCAUUCACCCCAAAUGUAGCCGAGGCAGCCGACUUGGGCUCGGUUGAUGAUAGUUAAUUUAAAACUUCACCUGAAAUGUGGGCCUCGAUGUUGGAAAAUUAGCCUCUCAAUUGGCGGAUGUGAGUGUAACCUUGCUAUGUAAAUUACGCAAUUCCAGCUUGACAUCUCUUAUGAAAUGGGCUAUAAUAAAUUGUUGAGCUACUGGAUGGUAUAGAAUAUGGCUUUGACCCAUUAACGCCGAUCAGAUUCAGGGGUAUAUUGAAAUAGAAACUUGAUUACAUUAUCCGAUUUAUACCAAAACUUUCGUCUCCAACCAGAUUAAUGCUCUACUCUUAUGAUUAUUAAUUCCUUUUCAAGUCUUUCGUUGUAUCAAUUAUACAUGUACACACAAAGGAUUUACAUAUUGCGCAUGUGAAGCGGAAUUCACAAAAUGGACUAGAGG